rnacentral:rRNA from 1 species
UACGUAGGGUCCGAGCGUUGUCCGGAAUUACUGGGCGUAAAGCGCACGUAGGCGGACAUUUAAGUCAGGGGUGAAAUCCUGGAGCUCAACUCCAGAACUGCCUUUGAUACUGAGGAUCUUGAGUUCGGGAGAGGUGAGUGGAACUGCGAGUGUAGAGGUGAAAUUCGUAGAUAUUCGCAAGAACACCAGUGGCGAAGGCGGCUCACUGGCCCGAUACUGACGCUGAGGCACGAAAGCGUGGGGAGCAAACAGG